rnacentral:misc_RNA from 1 species
GGGUGGAAACAACUGUUAUCAACCGGGAUAAAUUAUUGCCAUGGCUAACACCGUGAUGAAUAUUAUGCAGCGCAACAGCCACUUCAAAUAGGUCUCUCCAGCCAAUCAGAGCAGCGAAUCAUUUUAUUCCUCCUCCGAGACACAAAGAACAAAAAUUGGCUUUGAUACUGCGGUACACAAGCUCAACAACGUAGGAUCUGCGGCUGCCAUUGCCCCAGACCAUCUUUGAGGAGAUACCAAGGCAUCACCGAUCCUUUGCUACUUGAGAGUUUGGUGUGUCGGGAGGUUUGCUACUAGCAAUUUUUCAAGCGAGUAAUCGUGGAAGGUGAUUCCCAAGAUGUCAUCAAAGCACAUCAGGGAGGCUUUGCACCUGUGGAAUCCCAAGGCAUCCUUGAUGAUGUUAAGAUUAUGUCAGAACGCAUUAGAGGAGAUUUUCUUUUCCUUCGUUAGAAGACAUUGUAACAGGGCAGUUCACUGCCUUGCUUCUAAAGCUCUCAGGAAUGUCUCUUUCUACGGCAAUCCCUUGCUUCAAAAGUCAUUUUGUAACUUGUAAGAUGCCCACUUAGGGCCUUCAAUGAAUUUCUUAACUUCAACCAAAUAUAUAUAAUUUUCCAAAUACCUGGUGUUCAUGAACAAAAUCCACCACUUUCAGCAUUAUAGUUAAAAUAAAUACAUCAUCCUCUCCUUUCUUGUGAGAAGGAAAUGCAUCUAGGAAUUUCUUUACCCUCCUAGUGAAAAUAUAAAUGUACAUUAUACAUACAUCAAAAAAGAAUGUAAAUCAGAAUGUGGGGAAAAAAACCCUUGAAUUUUCCUAGUUGAAGCUCCAAGCCAUGUCAACGUGCCAUUUCACCAGAACUGAUUGAAGCAAUUAUGCCUUGGAUGCACCAUCAGUUUGAGAGCCAAUGAUUGAGCUAUUAGUUUCACUGAUAAUACCACUUACAUGGCCAUUAGAAUCUGAACCAUAUAUGUGCCCCAUUUUUUCACGUUUAGUCUCCAAAUAUCUCCUGUUCUCCCUAGUUAUUGGAGUCAACAAUGGGACCCUGCCUGCAAUUGCCAGGCCAUAACCUUUAAGCCCCACAUAUUUUGCAGGAUUAUUUGUCAUCAGCCUCAUUGUAUGCACGCCCAAAUCUCUUAGUAUCUGUGCACCAAUGCCAUAUUCACGAGAAUCAAUAGGUAAACCCAGCUCUUCAUUGGCCUCAACGGUGUCACAUCCAUCAUCCUGUAGGUUGUAAGCACGAAGCUUGUGGCCCAAACCAAUUCCU